rnacentral:rRNA from 1 species
GCUUAACACAUGCAAGUCGAACGGCAGCACGGGAGCUUGCUCCUGGUGGCGAGUGGCGAACGGGUGAGUAAUGUAUCGGAACGUACCCAGUCGUGGGGGAUAACUCUCCGAAAGGAGAGCUAAUACCGCAUACGUCCUGAGGGAGAAAGCGGGGGACCUGCAAGGGCCUCGCGCGAUUGGAGCGGCCGAUAUCGGAUUAGCUAGUUGGUAGGGUAAAGGCCUACCAAGGCGACGAUCCGUAGCGGGUCUGAGAGGACGACCCGCCACACUGGAACUGAGACACGGUCCAGACUCCUACGGGAGGCAGCAGUGGGGAAUAUUGGACAAUGGGGGAAACCCUGAUCCAGCAAUGCCGCGUGUGUGAAGAAGGCCUUCGGGUUGUAAAGCACUUUUAGCAGGAAAGAAAGAUCGCGCGCUAAUAUCGCGUGGUUUUGACGUUACUUGCAGAAAAAGCACCGGCUAACUCCGUGCCAGCAGCCGCGGUAAUAC